GAUAUUGUUAAAAAACAGCUUGUGCAUCAUCUCUCUUUUAUCUCAAAAGUGUGAUGCCCCUCUACCUUAAACACUACAGGAGUCACCCAAAGGAGGCUUUUGGCUUCUGGGCCGUAACCCACACCCAUAAAUCUACACUCAGACCAUUAAGCAUUGUGUUGACCAUCAUCCUGCCCAGUCAAUAAAUCAAUCAUGUUCAUGUGUUUGGAAGCCUGUAAAUCCUCAGUGUCGGCCUGAGGAAGCAGCUUUCUCAUUCAGUCACGGAAGGGGGUGUUGAGGUUUAUUAGAAGUGAAGUAAGUACAGCGUUUAAACCCUGAGCCUCACAUACAUGUUUUCUGACUUUUAUAUAGAGUGUUACCUAAACCUUCUGUAUGCUAUUUUUAGUCUAAUGAAGGUACAUAAAGUGUCUUCUACUGUAAAUAGAGUUGCUGCCAUAAAAAAACAUCUCAUGAGCAGUUCUGUCUUAGUAAUAGCUUGAUUUUUCAUACAUAUGUUUGGAUACUUUAUGAGAAUUUCAAUAGCAUUUAGGGCCUUGAGUGGCAUGAAUAAUGAAGGGAAAGAAGGUAAAGGAUAUGAAAAAUACACAGUGUAAGGUGGACUACUGGAAAAAAGAGAUAAUGAAUAAAAAAAGAAUGCAGUAAACGGAAGACUGUGUCCAAUAUAGUCACCUUCUUGAAAAAAAAAAAAGUCAGAAUUUUCACAUUUUUUCAAAAAGCAGAAAAAACUAAACCAAAUAUAUGAGUGUAUGAUAUUUUUUUGUUUUUAGAAAAACCUGAAACUGAUUACUAAGGCCAUUAUUGAUAGAAGAUGAUGAUAUAUUGUAAAUUUAGCUGAAUUCAAUUAGUACAAUAGAGUUAUGGGUGCAAAAAUAUAUUAUUUAAAGGAAUAUAUUAAAGAAAAGUGCACCAUAACAAACCACAUUACUAGUGCUGUAUGUGUGUGUCUCAAGGGUUGGAGGAGUCCGAGUGAUGGGGUGCUGAUGUACAGUAUGUUCAUCAUGUUUCAGUGCGAACGCUGUGUGAGUCCAUUAUGGCCGACUGCAGAGGAUGUGAGGUUAAGUGGUGCCAGUGGACGCAGAGACGACCGAGGGAGACCUGACAGCUGGUACGAGUGAUUAGACCUGUGUAGUGAUGCAGGGAAGGCAUCAAAGCUCUUUAGGAAGAAUCCCUAACAGGGAGGAGGCGAGGGCACACACACACACACACACACACACACACACACACACACACACACUGAUACACAAUUUCCUGGUUGCUAAAACUGCCUUUACUGAACAGUGUAAAGGCCACUCAGGCCAUCUGUCAUUCUCAGAUGCAUCGCUGACCAAUGGAUUAUCAGCAGCUCGGCCCGUGGGCACACACAUACACUAACCCCCCCACUCACCAUAUGAUAGUGGUAAUACAGGAGACUAACUGGUGUCAUUAGAUUUGUCAUGGAAGUUAAUGGAUAUCCUCAUUAAUGUCUCAUGUUAAUGGUUCUUUGUUAUUUUCUCAACUGUGUCUUUGCCAUGUGUAUCACUGUUACCUGUCUUUUCAUAUUAAAGGUAUAAUCCAUUAA